rnacentral:rRNA from 1 species
UACAGAGGUCUCAAGCGUUGUUCGGAUUCAUUGGGCGUAAAGGGUGCGUAGGUGGCGCCGUAAGUCGGGUGUGAAAUUUCGGAGCUUAACUCCGAAACUGCAUUCGAUACUGCGGUGCUUGAGGACUGGAGAGGAGACUGGAAUUCAUGGUGUAGCAGUGAAAUGCGUAGAGAUCAUGAGGAAGACCAGUGGCGAAGGCGGGUCUCUGGACCUUACCUGACGCUGAGGAGCGAAAGCGUGGGGAGCGAACAGG